GAUAGCUCUGUGGUAGAGCAUCUGCUUUGCAUGCAAAAGGCUUUAAGGUUAAAUCCCAGGCAUCUCCA